GCGGAAGGAUCACUACCUAGAGUUUGUAGACUUCGGUCUGCUACCUCUUACCCAUGUCUUUUGAGUACCUUCGUUUCCUCGGCGGGUCCGCCCGCCGAUUGGACAACGUUCAAACCCUUUGCAGUUGCAAUCAGCGUCUGAAAAAACAUAAUAGUUACAACUUUCAACAACGGAUCUCUUGGUUCUGGCA
rnacentral:misc_RNA from 1 species